AAUCAUUAUUUUAAACAAUUAUCUGAUACUCCUGUGUAUUUCUACUUGAUGCUGAAUCGAUAUCGAAGCUUUUCAAUCAAUAUCGAAUCGAAUCGUGACCUAACGAAUCGAAAUCGAAUUGAAUCGUGAGAUUCUCAACAAUAACCAGCCCUACCACAUUCUGCAAAAGGAAAGAAGGAGAGUGACAGACAGAGAUGAGGGGAUGUCAUCGAUGAUUUCCGCAUCAGAUUAUCAGACAGUGAUGCAGUAAACGAACUUGAAAAUCACCACAGAGGUAGCUGGGGACAUGUAGAACAAGAAUCCGGUGGAGUCGGCAGAAAACAAUUCGAUUCGUGUCUGAAUGAAGUUUUUAAAUCUGACUGUGCAGAAAUGAGGGGGAUUCUGAAUGCGCUUCAAUAAUUUUGUUCUAUCAUUUUGUUUGAAUCAUUAUAAAAGAAUGUAGCGAAACGAAAACAAAGUGACAGCAGAUGUGUGUAGUUCAACACAUGAAAUAAGAAGAAAAAGCUACUUUGAUAUGAAUUUCUGAGUUUGCGGGGAGCACGUGAAUGCACUAUGAAACCACCGUAGGACGCGAUGUAGACGGGCACUCUAUUUUCCAGUGUCGAUGGCGCGACUGCACCCCUCCGCAGCGCAGAUAUUCAGUGAAUAGCAGAUUAAACAUCUUCACCGCAGUGUGAACCUGCAGUCUAUAGUGUGAACGCACCCUGACGACAUGUUGUCGACGUCACUCGUGUUAGGGCUCCUCGCCGUGUUCUCGGUGCCAGGCUCCGGCUGUGGGACGCAGGAGUAUCGAACCCAAGCAGGAGAGUGCUGCCCCAUGUGCCACCAAGGAACCUUUGUUCAAAGUGACUGCACACUGUUGUCAGGCACACGCUGCAGGCCCUGUGACAAUGGUACUUACAUGACUCAACCCAAUGGUCUAAAGAAGUGUUUCCCCUGCUCUUCCUGUGUUGCAGAAAAUGGUCUCUUUGUCUGGCAGAAGUGUACAAACAAAAGUGACACAGUUUGUGGUGUGUCCAAUGGAUUCUUCUGCAAAAGUCUGGCUGGAGAUACAGGAUGCAGCAUGGCGAAGAAACAUACACACUGUGUUGCUGGUCAGAGGAUAAAGGAACCUGGAACCCACAGAACUGAUACAGUGUGUGAAGACUGUCUGACAGGCUUUUUUUCACAUGAUGGUUUGACGUGCGCACCAUGGACAAUUUGCUCAGGAACCCAAGUUAAGGUAAAAGAUGGAGACCCAUAUAGUGAUGUCGUCUGCUCGUGUUCAUCAAGAAAUACUUUUGAGAAAUUGCUUUUUUUUGUUUGGCUUUGUUACAUUUGUUUUUUUGUAUGACCCAUAGACUGUAAAUAAAGCACACACUGACAAAUACUGAAAUUUAGUGUUUUGAUUAACGAUAGGAAAAAAACUCCAUGCACAAACACCACUGAUUUUCCAAUUUGGCCCUCUUGCUACAGAACUGUUAGAAUAGCUCUGUCCUAUACACUGGUCCUUUAACUCUUUAUCCACUUAACUGUUCCCAAAGACCACACAAAUGUAUCAUUACAUGUUAAUAACUUGAUUGUGAUAUGACACUAUUUCUGUUUCACCUGUUGUUGAAGUUAAAUUUAUCUUCAAACCUUUUUACAGAAUGGCUUUUGUAGGUGCAAGUUAGUAUUUUUUGUAAUGUAAAGUUUGUUGCUAUGGUCACAUACAGGGAUCUGAGUCAUGUGGUGGUGGUAUGUCAGCAGGUAGUAAAAUCAGCUGUUCCUCACCGGGUGAAUAAAGGAACAAGAGGGUGAGGGGGGUUGUCCUACUUUGCUGACCACAUGAUAUCAACCAAAGAACUAAAUGUAAUGUUUAUUGGACAAUGUGAACAUUCCACUGCGUUUUUUCCCAGCAGAAAUAACUAUACACAAACCAGCAGUCUUUUGCAUCGAAGUUUUUAUUGAACAGCCAGCGCGUCCGGCAGGUAAAGUUUUUUCCACUGCUUAGCCUCUUGGCGACUAUAGUGUUGUGAAUUUGAUGGUCACUCUACAGCUUUCAUAAAUUAAGUACAUUGUUAUUAAUGCCUUUCAUGAAUUUUUUUUAUAGAUCACUUAUAUUUUGGUCAUUUCAAUAUUUCAACAUUUUGACUUCACUCUUGCUGCUUUCCAAUUUUUACUUUGUAAACUGUAUUUUUUCAGGGCGCAUUGUCACUGUGCGUAUGUCCAUGACUGUACAUAAAGAUGGAUGACAUGAUAGCUCCCAUAACAGAAAUUCAAAACAUCUCUAUCGCUCCCUGGUGGCUGAGUGCAGUAUAGCUGACAAAGCAUUGUGGUGAGAUGUCAUGAUUGACAGCUGUAAUUGACUCAUGAUAGUGUUGGUCAGAUAUAUUGGGCGGGACCUUGAUACUUCAGCUCCUCUAACCAAUCACUUGUGUGCCCAUACAUGCACUGACCAAUCACAAGUCAGUCUCAGCUGUCAGUCAUGACGUUUCAAACCCAUUUUAUAGUGUCAAAUAAUGAAUGAAAAGUAAACAUACCAGAUAAAGGAAAACACAUACACCAGCACUUUUAAUUUGGUCCAUGUCCCAUCUGCUAAAGUUGGUGGAAUGUAAAUAAAAAUCAAGUUUCAGAGUUUGUGUAUAUAAUGUAUGAUGUGUAAGGAGUACGGAGGUGGGCAGAUUGAUUUCAGCACUAGUUUGAAUCUGACCAGAUACCAAGUCGAUGAUUUAUUUAAACGUACUGAAGCCUCAACUAAUCAGACAUUGAGCACAUGCCUCUUAGCUUCACUGCACAAUGUUAGAUAAUAAGCCAGUCAUUGCUUAUGUGGAAAAGCAUGUUUUGGUGUUAAAACCAAGCGGCAACAACGCGGGCUGAGCGAUGAGGCCAAUGCCGAAGUGCAAAAAGCUGCAGUUCACUGAGUGGCCACUUGAGGCUGGCUCAAUCAAUUCCCAUUGACUCCCAUGUUAAAAAGCUAGACUUUAGAGCAGAAUUAAACGUGUUUACAGCCUGGUUCAAAAAACGGUUUUAAGUCUCAAUCACUAAGUUGGGGUGAAUUUUUGUGGGGCAUUGUGAUGUCACAUAAAAUCGUUAUGAUGUAAAAGUAUUAUAAGUUUUGUCCUUUUAAGUUUUGAAGGUAUGUCUUUUGCAGGUAAUCCACACAUUGGAGUCAUGAGGCAUAAAGGACAACUUUAUGCUUUUAGCUCCAAAGAAGCAGCCUUGAAAUUUGCCUCUCGUCCAGACGACUUCAUUGCAGAGGUCACAGAAAAAGCCAAGCUCUCCCCUGAACUCAUUYAACUUCUCAAACUCCACCAACAGUUCUCCUGCGUCAGCCCUUACACUGAGAUGCAGCCAGAAGAGAGUUUGCUGGUGAAGCCCAUCACUAAGUGUGAGAGCAGCACACAGACUGACCUACACCCAGUGGAGACAAACAUAGUCAAGUCAUAUGAGUGGAAUGAGUGGGAACUGCGGAAAAAAGCUAUCAGACUGGCUGAUCUUCGGACCAAAGUGACAAACUCAGCACAGACUGAUCUGAGCCACAUGAGGCGGGAAAACGUCACUCAGACCUGGCUGCCCAAGGACGCCGCCUGUCAAAGCAAGAGAGACGGUGAGAGCAGCAUGCCCAAGCCUCAGGUCUACCUGGCAGGUCUGAGGGGACAAAAAGACGGACACAUGGUCAAAACUAACCUGACUAGAUCUGUGGAUGAAUAAUGCAUAUCAUUAUUUUUUUCUUCAAUUUCACACUAUGUUUACUCAUUUAAAUGUAGGCACAUUAAAAGGGUGGUGGCCUGGAAAAUACAAUAAGCAUUAACCUGCCUUGUCAAAGACCCCUUUA